GAUGGAAAAAAAGCGCUGGUGCUUGGAGAGAAACCAAGCAGACGAGGAAGAGGUUUAUCGAGCAGUCAGCGGAUGCCUCUCGGCGACUGCCGUCGUUAGCUGACCGACAAAACUGCAGGGUGACUUGCGGAACAAAACGGCAGCAUGCAGCAUG
rnacentral:ncRNA from 2 species